GAGAAGGGUCCAGCUGCAGGCUUGGGCGUUCCCGUCAUGACACAAAAACGCCCAUCGGGCGUUCCCGUCAUGACACAAAAACGCCCAUCAGGCGUUCCUGUAGCGUUUCAUCGAUCAAUCAAGAAGAGUACCCUGGCACAUGCUUUGUCCAAUGGACCAUGGAAGGGACUUUACUUGGCUGACGAGUACGCAAUGUAUUCUACCCUCAAAAGCAAUAUGAUUUCAGUGAGGGGGACAUGCUCUCUAUCAGGAGGUGGUGGUUGGACUGCUGUUGGAGACCUUUAUGCUUGAAAGCCCUGCAGAACUAGCUGGCUCCUUCUCACCCUCUCCAUCUCCCCAUCUCAGUCACACCUUCCAAUCACUAAGCAGUGAAAGCCCGGCAGGACUAGCUGGCACACCAAGCUCACCCUCUCCAUCUCCCCAUCUCGGCCACACGCUCCAAUCUGGCACAACAGAGGACAGGCCAUUCUUAUCACUCGAAGUCCUUCAGCAAAUUGUACAAGAGACGCUGAGACUGGACAUGGCGAUGCUUGGCGUGUUCAACAGGGUUUCAAACACAUUCCGAGAACUAAUCAAGCCUCUCUAUCCUUCAAUAUAUAAAUGACAGUUUGGCAGGGGACAUUAAGCUUAAUAAAGACAAUCUCAUAUACAUAACGGUUAGAAAGAUUUACAACAAUGCAGGCUGUGGCAGUGGCCUUGCACUACGCCUCAAAGGCUUCUUAAAAAAGAAGAAUUGGCCAAGCGCACCCCUGGUACUGAGGCACGUUGCAUAUGGCAGGUUUGUCAUAAAAGAUGUCUGCAUAGCAUAAUGUUCUUUUAUUACUCCUUUUUCGUUUUAUUUGGGACGUCAUUUUUGCAAUCCCUUUCAUUUGUAAAUGUACAUACUACUGUAGUAAAUGUAUCUGCCCAGAAA